rnacentral:misc_RNA from 1 species
CAAGAACGACAAUAUAUUUGGCUGGCUGGCGCCUGUGUGGUGCGUCCAGACACUAUUCUGUGUGAGCACAAAGCUUGCUUUGGCGCCUCUGGCGUCAGAUUUAUGCGGACAUGCUGUUGAAUCUGAAAGACAUAGAAAUUUA